rnacentral:lncRNA from 1 species
AUGGCUACCAUGACGAUGACCCCAUCAUCCCUGGAGAUGGCCGUGCUCGUCAAGCCAAUGAGGAAGCUGGGCCGGCAAGAGUCUCCGCUGAGCCGAGAGGUGCUGUUCCGAGAAAGAAAGAGGGAGCGAGAAAGAGAGAGGGAGAGGGGACGGGAGAGAGGCCGAGACAGAGAGCGAGAGAGAUCCUGGAAUGCGACUCUGGGCAGGUUCCUGGCCAAGCUGGAGAGAUCCACACCCGCUGGAGCUUCCUCCACGGACACCCAGGCUGCAGGCAACGGCAAGCCCACAGACAGUAAGCCCAUCCUGGGGGAGGCGAGCGCGAGUGAGGCCCCUGGAACCACCACAUCCGAAACCACCACAUCCAUCACUGCCACCACAUGUAGUCCAGCCCAGUGCAAACUCUGCGACCCCGCAACUGCUAAAGCACCCAUUAGCACUGGUGCUGUUCUUGAGUCCAAGGCUUCCUCACCUGCCAGUGCAGCUCUCACUCCGCCUGCCUCAAAAACUACAGAUCCCAGAACUCCUAGCGGUGCAGCAGUCACAAGUGAUCAUAGCUCAAACACCAAGCUCUCAUCCGGUAGCCAGCUGGAGAACACAAAGAGACAGCUGCCGCCUCAGUUAGAUAGAGUUCAGGCUAAACCAGAUGGAAAGAACAUUUCGCAGAGCGUUCCACAGGUGAGUUCUGCAGCCUCAGAACCAUGCUUGAGUUCCACACCUGCUUUUGUCUCAGAACCUUCUAGAAUCUCAAAAGCUCCUGGUUUAGACGAGGGGGCUUUGAAAAAGAACGGCCUGGAGGUCCCCACCAGAGCUCCGGACGCCAGGCUUCGUGGCUCCGCUGGUGCCCCCACGAAGGUGCUGCUCACCGCCGCCGCCCCUCCCGCGGUCCAGGCACCGGGCCUGGGGAAGAUGCGUCAGGAGAAGGGCCUGACGGUGAACUGCUUCCGGGGCACCCUUGACUGGGAGGAGAAGCGACUGCUGGAGGUGUUGGUGGAGCAUUCCCCUUCCCCGACCCCCACCCCCUCACCCACCGCCCCGCCCACUCCCAUCCCCGUCCAAUCACAUCGCAUCUCCCCCGGCGCAGACCGCAGUGGCUCGGUCCAACAGCCAACAGCUAAGCUGCCCUCCUCAGCUCCUCCUCUGCCGACUCGUCCUCUUCCUCUCCCGACUCGUCCUCUUCCUCUGCCGACUCGUCCUCUUCCUCUCCUGACUCCUCCUCUUCCUCUCCCGGCUCCUCCUCUUGCUCUCCCGACUCCUAAGGGCCAGCCCCAGGAGGGGCCCAAGGAGAGAGAGAGCCCCAGGAGGAGUGAGGAGAUACAGGCAGGCCCGGCAGGAAGUAGGCCUGGAAUCACCAUAGCUGCUUCCUCAGGGCCUGCGUCUCCUCCUAGUCCUCCUCCUCCUCCUCCUCCUCCUCCUCCUCCUCCUCCUCAUCAGCCGGUUAAAAGCCCCAGCAUCCCCAAGCCCACGGCUUGA